rnacentral:lncRNA from 1 species
CUCCUUCUCCUCCUUCUUCUCUUUUUUCUCCUUCUUCUUCUCCUCCUCCCUCUCCUCCUCCUUCUUCUCCUCAUUUUUCCUCUUCCUUCCUUUCAUUUUUCCUCUUUUUCUCUUCUUGUCCCCUUCUUCGGGUUAAAUUGGCUAAGAAUGCCUUUUUGGAGCUAAUUAUGUCAUUUCGAGGAUAAUAAGCUAAGUAUAGGUCAU